rnacentral:rRNA from 1 species
GAUGAACGCUAGCUACAGGCUUAACACAUGCAAGUCGAGGGGAAACGACAUCGAAAGCUUGCUUUUGAUGGGCGUCGACCGGCGCACGGGUGAGUAACGCGUAUCCAACCUGCCCAUCACUUGGGAAUAACCUUGCGAAAGUAAGACUAAUACCCAAUGACAUCCCACGAAGACAUCUGAAUGGGAUUAAAGAUUUAUCGGUGAUGGAUGGGGAUGCGUCUGAUGAGCUUGUUGGCGGGGUAACGGCCCACCAAGGCAACGAUCAGUAGGGGUUCUGAGAGGAAGGUCCCCCACAUUGGAACUGGGACACGGUCCAAACUCCUACGGGAGGCGGCAGUGAGGAAUAUUGGGCAAUGGGCGAGAGCCUGAACCAGCCAAGUAGCGUGCAGGAUGACGGCCCUAUGGGUUGUAAACUGCUUUUAUAAGGGAAUAAAGUGGGUCUCGUGAGACUUUUUGCAUGUACCUUAUGAAUAAGGACCGGCUAAUUCCGUG